rnacentral:rRNA from 1 species
ACGCUGGCGGCGUGCCUAAUACAUGCAAGUAGAACGCUGAAGGAGGAGCUUGCUUCUCCGGAUGAGUUGCGAACGGGUGAGUAACGCGUAGGUAACCUGCCUGGUAGCGGGGGAUAACUAUUGGAAACGAUAGCUAAUACCGCAUAAGAGUAGAUGUUGCAUGACAUUUGCUUAAAAGGUGCAAUUGCAUCACUACCAGAUGGACCUGCGUUGUAUUAGCUAGUUGGUGGGGUAACGGCUCACCAAGGCGACGAUACAUAGCCGACCUGAGAGGGUGAUCGGCCACACUGGGACUGAGACACGGCCCAGACUCCUACGGGAGGCAGCAGUAGGGAAUCUUCGGCAAUGGACGGAAGUCUGACCGAGCAACGCCGCGUGAGUGAAGAAGGUUUUCGGAUCGUAAAGCUCUGUUGUAAGAGAAGAACGAGUGUGAGAGUGGAAAGUUCACACUGUGACGGUAUCUUACCAGAGAGGGACGGCUAACUACGUGCCAGCAGCCGCGGUAAUACGUAGGUCCCGAGCGUUGUCCGGAUUUAUUGGGCGUAAAGCGAGCGCAGGCGGUUAGAUAAGCCUGAAGUUAAAGGCUAUGGCUUAACCAUAGUACGCUUUGGAAACUGUUUAACUUGAGUGCAAGAGGGGAGAGUGGAAUUCCAUGUGUAGCGGUGAAAUGCGUAGAUAUAUGGAGGAACACCGGUGGCGAAAGCGGCUCUCUGGCUUGUAACUGACGCUGAGGCUCGAAAGCGUGGGGAGCAAACAGGAUUAGGUACCCUGGUAGUCCACGCCGUAAACGAUGAGUGCUAGGUGUUAGACCCUUUCCGGGGUUUAGUGCCGCAGCUAACGCAUUAAGCACUCCGCCUGGGGAGUACGACCGCAAGGUUGAAACUCAAAGGAAUUGACGGGGGCCCGCACAAGCGGUGGAGCAUG